rnacentral:rRNA from 1 species
GACGAACGCUGGCGGCGUGCUUAACACAUGCAAGUCGAACGGAAAGGCCCUGCUUGCAGGGUACUCGAGUGGCGAACGGGCGAGUAACACGUGGGUGAUCUGCCCUGCACUUCGGGAUAAGCCUGGGGAACUGGGUCUAAUACCGGAUAGGAGCCAUUUUUAGUGUGAUGGUUGGAAAGUUUUUUCGGUGUAGGAUGAGCUCGCGGCCUAUCAGCUUGUUGGUGGGGUAAUGGCCUACCAAGGCGGCGACGGGUAGCCGGCCUGAGAGGGUGGACGGCCACAUUGGGACUGAGAUACGGCCCAGACUCCUACGGGAGGCAGCAGUGGGGAAUAUUGCACAAUGGGCGCAAGCCUGAUGCAGCGACGCCGCGUGGGGGAUGACGGCCUUCGGGUUGUAAACUCCUUUCGCUAGGGACGAAGCUUUUUGUGACGGUACCUAGAUAAGAAGCACCGGCUAACUACGUG